AGGAGGAAGGGAGAGAUGGAUGAAGAGAUUAGACAGACAGGAGAGUGGUCAUCAGGCCUCACCUAGAUUAUUGGCCACAUUCAAACUAAUAUUCACAAAAUAUUUGUGCCUCCCAUCAGUGAGUUUGAGAUGAGAAGCAGGAGGAAACCUCACGUUCUAGAUAUGAAACCUCGUUGGUGGUAUGCAGCCAGAGCUGUGGUUAGGCUAACAAGAGAGAGCAUGUGAAAACAUUUUGGAGGAGCCAAGCUGAAAUAUGAGGUCAUUGCUGCUGCCCAUUUUCAAUGAUCGAAGCUAAUGGAAUUGGGAGAGAUGUGGAUGACACAAAAGUGCAUUGAGAGCCCCCAUCCUUUGGCUCCAGCUCCUGGACUACCUUAUAAUGCUAUCCCCUAAAGAUCUCCAAACACAAUUUGAUGUCAGCUGGCAAAUAAUCCCUCAACCCCUGCCUCAGAGGAGACAAGACCCAGGUUGUCAUCAAUGGACAAUAUCUUCUCUGCCUUAAGGGGAACCACAAAUCUAAAUAUUUUCUUCACUUGAGUCAGAGUUUGAAGGACAGCCAUAAAGAUCACGUACACUUGUCCCAGGACUUGCCAGAGUACCAGUUCAUUUUGGAAUGGCAACUGCAAAACAGACAUUGUUAUGUUGCCAACAUAAUCAAUAGUUUCCACUACCAUAUGGGUUAAUCUGCUAUACAAAAUGUGAUAAACCCAAAAGCAAGUGAUGGCAGCAAUGACCACCACUCCAAAAACAACUUGCUUGAACAUUUUGUCUUUCUUCAUUUACUACUCUACUUGUAAAAGGAUUGUGGGGUUCAGUCAAACUUUGAGGUGCCAAUUGUAAUAAAAGGGUAAUCUGUGAAAAUUA